rnacentral:rRNA from 4 species
AUAUUGCUCUUUAACAA